rnacentral:lncRNA from 1 species
CUCCUUGGCAGCUGGGCGGUGGUUCACCUCACCCUAGGGACCCACGGAGGAUCACCUUUUCGGAUCUCAGGCAGUUAUGAUCAGAGAAUCCCACAGGAUGACACAGCCACCAUCGAGCCCCACUUCACCACCAACUGCACCAUGGCUACUUCACCUGGUCCCAACAUCACCCUGGAGGGCCAAUACCACUGUUACCAGGGACCUGGGAUUCCAAUGGACAAACUGUGCGACUUUGAGAUAGACUGUCCACUCGGAGAUGAUGAAGGCGACCUGUGCCGCCAUUUUCUCAGUGGCAGCUACUGCACAUUUGAAGAAGGCGAGUGUGCUUGGCAGUCAAUAAUGGGUCGUGGUUUCUCCUGGAGAAGACUGCAGUCUCCAACGAAGGCAACCAGACAGAGCUGCCCAUCAUCAGGUG